CGAGCGGUAGAGAGAAGCUUGCUUCUCUUGAGAGCGGCGGACGGGUGAGUAAAGCCUAGGAAUCUGCCUGGUAGUGGGGGAUAACGUUCGGAAACGGACGCUAAUACCGCAUACGUCCUACGGGAGAAAGCAGGGGACCUUCGGGCCUUGCGCUAUCAGAUGAGCCUAGGUCGGAUUAGCUAGUUGGUGAGGUAAUGGCUCACCAAGGCGACGAUCCGUAACUGGUCUGAGAGGAUGAUCAGUCACACUGGAACUGAGACACGGUCCAGACUCCUACGGGAGGCAGCAGUGGGGAAUAUUGGACAAUGGGCGAAAGCCUGAUCCAGCCAUGCCGCGUGUGUGAAGAAGGUCUUCGGAUUGUAAAGCACUUUAAGUUGGGAGGAAGGGCAGUUACUUAAUACGUGAUUGUUUUGACGUUACCGACAGAAUAAGCACCGGCUAACUCUGUGCCAGCAGCCGCGGUAAUACAGAGGGUGCAAGCGUUAAUCGGAAUUACUGGGCGUAAAGCGCGCGUAGGUGGUUUGUUAAGUUGGAUGUGAAAUCCCCGGGCUCAACCUGGGAACUGCAUUCAAAACUGACUGACUAGAGUGUGGUAGAGGGUGGUGGAAUUUCCUGUGUAGCGGUGAAAUGCGUAGAUAUAGGAAGGAACACCAGUGGCGAAGGCGACCACCUGGACCAACACUGACACUGAGGUGCGAAAGCGUGGGAGCAAACAGGAUUAGAUACCCUGGUAGUCCACGCCGUAAACGAUGUCAACUAGCCGUUGGGAGCCUUGAGCUCUUAGUGGCGCAGCUAACGCAUUAAGUUGACCGCCUGGGGAGUACGGCCGCAAGGUUAAAACUCAAAUGAAUUGACGGGG
rnacentral:rRNA from 1 species